GAUGAACGCUGGCGGCGUGCCUAACACAUGCAAGUCGAACGGACUUACAUUGAAGCCUAGCGAUAUGUAAGUUAGUGGCGGACGGAUGAGUAACGCGUGGGUAACCUGCCUUGUACUGGGGGACAACAGUUGGAAACGACUGCUAAUACCGCAUAAGCGCACAGCCUCGCAUGAAGCAGUGUGAAAAACUCCGGUGGUACAAGAUGGACCCGCGUCUGAUUAGCUAGUUGGUGAGGUAACGGCCCACCAAGGCGACGAUCAGUAGCCGGCCUGAGAGGGUGAACGGCCACAUUGGGACUGAGACACGGCCCAAACUCCUACGGGAGGCAGCAGUGGGGAAUAUUGCACAAUGGGGGAAACCCUGAUGCAGCAACGCCGCGUGAGUGAAGAAGUAUUUCGGUAUGUAAAGCUCUAUCAGCAGGAAAGAAAAUGACGGUACCUGACUAAGAAGCCCCGGCUAACUACGUGCCAGCCGCCGCAGUAA
rnacentral:rRNA from 1 species